rnacentral:rRNA from 1 species
GAUGAACGCUGGCGGCGUGCUUAACACAUGCAAGUCGAACGGAAAGGCCCAAGCUUGCUUGGGUACUCGAGUGGCGAACGGGUGAGUAACACGUGGGUGAUCUGCCCUGCACUUCGGGAUAAGCCUGGGAAACUGGGUCUAAUACCGGAUAGGACGAUGGUUUGGAUGCCAUUGUGGAAAGUUUUUUCGGUGUGGGAUGAGCUCGCGGCCUAUCAGCUUGUUGGUGGGGUAAUGGCCUACCAAGGCGUCGACGGGUAGCCGGCCUGAGAGGGUGUACGGCCACAUUGGAACUGAGAUACGGCCCAGACUCCUACGGGAGGCAGCAGUGGGGAAUAUUGCACAAUGGGCGAAAGCCUGAUGCAGCGACGCCGCGUGGGGGAUGACGGCCUUCGGGUUGUAAACUCCUUUCGCUAGGGACGAAGCGUUUUUGUGACGGUACCUGGAGAAGAAGCACCGGCUAACUACGUG